GUGCUCGCUUCGGCAGCACAUGUACUAAAAUUGGAACGGAAUAGAGAAGACUAGUAUGGCCCCUGAGCAAGGACAGCACACAAAUUUGUGAAGUGGCCCAUAUUUUA